UAGGAAUCUUCCACAAUGGACGAAAGUCUGAUGGAGCAACGCCGCGUGAGUGAAGAAGGGUUUCGGCUCGUAAAGCUCUGUUGGUAGUGAAGAAAGAUAGAGGUAGUAACUGGCCUUUUAUUUGACGGUAAUUACUUAGAAAGUCACGGCUAACUACGUGCC
rnacentral:rRNA from 1 species